UUGGAGGGCAAGUCUGGUGCCAGCAGCCGCGGUAAUUCCAGCUCCAAUAGCGUAUAUUAAAGUUGUUGCAGUUAAAAAGCUCGUAGUUGAACCUUGGGCCUGGCUGGCCGGUCCGCCUCACCGCGUGCACUGGUUCGGCCGGGCCUUUCCCUCUGGGGAGCCGCAUGGUCUUCACUGAUCGUGUCGGGGAACCAGGACUUUUACUGUGAAAAAAUUAGAGUGUUCAAAGCAGGCCUAUGCUCGAAUACAUUAGCAUGGAAUAAUAGAAUAGGACGUGUGGUUCUAUUUUGUUGGUUUCUAGGACCGCCGUAAUGAUUAAUAGGGACAGUCGGGGGCAUCAGUAUUCAAUUGUCAGAGGUGAAAUUCUUGGAUUUAUUGAAGACUAACUACUGCGAAAGCAUUUGCCAAGGAUGUUUUCAUUAAUCAGGAACGAAAGUUAGGGGAUCGAAGACGAUCAGAUACCGUCGUACGUGUAACCACCUAUGGAUCUUCGAGUUGGUUGGCUUGUGUCUG
rnacentral:rRNA from 1 species